GUCUCUUAGAAAUUAUUAAGAGUCAGGCCUGCCCAGUGAUUGCUUUUUAACGGCCGCGGUACCCUGACCGUGCAAAGGUAGCAUAAUCAUUUGCCUUUUAAUUGGAGGCUGGUAUGAACGGUUUGACGAGAGUAAAACUGUCUCACACACAUUAAAUAAAAACUAAUUUAAAGGUGCAAAAGCCUUUAUAAAACAAAAAGACGAGAAGACCCUGUUGAGCUUUAAUUUUAAUGAGCAUCCACUUUAUAUUAAUAUAACUCAUUCGCUCAAUAAAAAUUUUAAUUGGGGCGAUUAAGGAACACAAUAAAGCUUCCUGACUUUAACACUAAAUAUUUAUAAAUUAAAUCGAUCCAGCAAUGCUGAUCAACAAAACGAGUUACCACAGGGAUAACAGCAUAAUUCUUUUUCAGAGCUCAUAUCGAAAAAAGAGAUUGUGACCUCGAUGUUGGACUAGGGUAACGAGAGGGUGGAGCAGCUUUCUUGCUUGGUCUGUUCGACCAAUAAUUCCCU
rnacentral:rRNA from 1 species